rnacentral:rRNA from 1 species
AUGACUUGCGAUUCUUCUACUUUGACCUUCGUUCGACCUGUCGAGUCUCCUGUUCGUGUUCAUACUGCUAAUGGUACUCUCCUACAUGUCUCUAGUCGAGGCACUCUUAGCACAUCUUCUUUUCAUGUUCACUCUGUUGCUCAUGUUCCUCGACUUAGCAUGCAACUCUUCUCAGGUAGUCAUAUUGUUGACUCUAGUUGUAGGAUCAACCUCGACUUUGAUUCAUGUUCUGUUCAGGAUCGUCGCACAUGCACUCUGCUUGGUGCUAGCCCUAAAUGCCAUGACGGUCUCUGGGAGCUCAACUGGCUUCGUCUUCCCUUUGAUGCCAACACCACUAGUCUCGUGGCCCCUCUUGUCGCAUCUGCUAGCUCUUCUCAGCAGUGGAAUCAUCAUCUUGGCCAUUUAUGUGGUUCUUGUCUCUCAUUUUUAGUUCAUCAUGGUGUUCUAGGUCCUGUCUCCGAUAACGCUUUGUUGGAUUGUUUGGGUUGUAGACUUGGUAAGCAGAUUCAUCUACCCUAUCCUCACAGUGAGUAA